CGGUGAAUACGUUCCCGGGCCUUGUACACACCGCCCGUCACACCACGAAAGUCGGCAACACCCGAAGCCGGUGGCCCAACCCUUUUUGGGGGGGGAGCCGUCGAAGGUGGGGUUGGCGAUUGGGGUG
rnacentral:rRNA from 1 species